rnacentral:rRNA from 1 species
AGUGAACGCUGGCUGUUGGCCUAACACAUGCAAGUCGAUCGGCAGCACAGUAUGAGCUUGCUCUUACGGGUGGCGAGUGGCUUACGGUUGCGUAAUACCUCUGCAUCUACUUUUUCGUGGGGGAUAACGUAGGAAUACUUACGCUUAUACCGCGUACGACCUACGGGUGAAUGCAGCGUAUCUUCGUACCUUGCGCGAUUGCAUGAGCCGAUGUCGGAUUAGCUAGUUGGCGGGGUAAAGGCCCACCAAGGCGACGAUCCGUAGCUGGUCUGAGAGGAUGAUCAGCCACACGUGAACUGAGAGACGGUGGAGACUCGUACGGGAGGCAGCAGGGGGGAAUAUUGGAAAAUGGGCGCAAGUCUGAACCAGCCAGACCGCGUGGGUGAAGAAGGCGCUCGGGUUGUGAAGCCAGUUUGUCGGGAAAGACAAGAAGCAGGGUAAUACGCAGCGGUUCUGACGGUACCAAAAGAACAAGCACCGGCUAAAUACGUG